UACAGAGGUCUCAAGCGUUGUUCGGAUUCAUUGGGCGUAAAGGGUGCGUAGGUGGCGAUGUAAGUCGGGUGUGAAAUCUCCAAGCUCAACUUGGAAACUGCACUCGAUACUGCGUCGCUCGAGGACUGUAGAGGGCAUUGGAAUUCACGGUGUAGCAGUGAAAUGCGUAGAUAUCGUGAGGAAGACCAGUGGCGAAGGCGAAUGCCUGGGCAGUUCCUGACACUGAGGCACGAAGGCCAGGGGAGCAAACGGGAUUAGAUACCCCGGUAGUCCUGGCAGUAAACGGUGCACGUUUGGUGUGGGAGGAUUCGACCCCUUCCGUGCCGGAGCAAACGCGUUAAACGUGCCGCCUGGGGAGUACGGUCGCAAGAUUAAAACUCAAAGAAAUUGACGGGGACCCGCACAAGCGGUGGAGUAUGUGGCUUAAUUCGAUGCAACGCGAAGAACCUUACCUGGCCUUGACAUGCAUCUCUAAUCCGGUGAAAGCCGGUGAGUGUAGCAAUACACAAUUUGCACAGGUGCUGCAUGGCUGUCGUCAGCUCGUGUCGUGAGAUGUUGGGUUAAGUCCCGCAACGAGCGCAACCCCUGUGAACUGUUGCCAUGGAGACGUGAGUCUCCGGCACUCUGUUCAGACUGCCCUGUUCAACGGGGAGGAAGGUGGGGACGACGUCAAGUCAGUAUGGCCCUUACGGCCAGGGCUGCACACGUACUACAAUGCCCGAAACAGAAGGAUCCGAGACCGCGAGGUGGAGGAAAUCACGAAAUUCGGGCCCAGUUCGGAUUGGAGGCUGCAACUCGCCUCCAUGAAGCCGGAAUCGCUAGUAAUGGCGCAUCAGCUACGGCGCCGUGAAUACGUUCCCGGGUCU
rnacentral:rRNA from 1 species